rnacentral:rRNA from 1 species
AGAGUUUGAUCAUGGCUCAGGAUGAACGCUAGCGGCAGGCUUAAUACAUGCAAGUCGAGGGGCAGCACGAAUAGCAAUAUUUGGUGGCGACCGGCAAACGGGUGCGGAACACGUACGCAACCUUCCCAUAACUGGUGAAUAGCCUUCCGAAAGGGAGAUUAAUACACCGUAACAUAUUUGAGUGGCAUCACUUGAUUAUUAUAGCUUCGGCGGUUUUGGAUGGGCGUGCGCCUGAUUAGGUAGUUGGCGGGGUAACGGCCCACCAAGCCUUCGAUCAGUAACUGGUGUGAGAGCACGACCAGUCACACGGGCACUGAGACACGGGCCCGACUCCUACGGGAGGCAGCAGUAAGGAAUAUUGGUCAAUGGACGCAAGUCUGAACCAGCCAUGCCGCGUGAAGGAUGAAGGCCCUCUGGGUUGUAAACUUCUUUUAUCUGGGACGAAAAAAGGGGAUUCUUCCUCACUUGACGGUACCAGAGGAAUAAGCACCGGCUAACUCCGUGCCAGCAGCCGCGGUAAUACGGAGGGUGCAAGCGUUAUCCGGAUUUACUGGGUUUAAAGGGUGCGUAGGUGGGUAGGUAAGUCAGUGGUGAAAUCUUCGAGCUUAACUCGGAAACUGCCAUUGAUACUAUUUAUCUUGAAUACUUUGGAGGUAAGCGGAAUAUGUCAUGUAGCGGUGAAAUGCUUAGAUAUGACAUAGAACACCAAUUGCGAAGGCAGCUUACUACACAGUUAUUGACACUGAGGCACGAAAGCGUGGGGAUCAAACAGGAUUAGAUACCCUAGUAGUCC